UGGGGAAUCUUCCGCAAUGGGCGAAAGCCUGACGGAGCAAUACCGCGUGAGGGAGGAAUGCCUUUGGGUUGUAAGCCUCUUUUCUCAGGGAAGAAGAUCUGACGGUACCUGAGGAAUAAGUAUCGGCUAACUCCGUGCCAGCAGACGCGGUAAUACGGAGGAUGCAAGCGUUAUCCGGAAUCAUUGGGCGUAAAGCGUCCGCAGGUGGUUUCCAAAGUCUGCUGUUAAAGACUGGAGCUCAACUCCGGAACGGCGGUGGAAACUUGGAAACUAGAGUUCGGUAGGGGUAGCAGGAAUUCCCAGUGUAGCGGUGAAAUGCGUAGAUAUUGGGAAGAACAUCGGUGGCGAAGGCGUGCUACUGGACCGUAACUGACACUCAGGGACGAAAGCUAGGGGAGCGAAAGGGAUUAGAUACCCCUGUAGUCCUAGCUGUAAACGAUGGAAACUAGGUGUGGCU
rnacentral:rRNA from 1 species